rnacentral:tRNA from 1 species
UCCCUUGUGGCUUAGUUGGUAAAGAAUCUGCCUGCAAUGCAGGAUACCAGGGCUCGAUCCCUGGGUUGGGAA